rnacentral:rRNA from 1 species
UUAAGCGACCAAGCGUACACGGUGGAUGCCCUGGCAGUCAGAGGCGAUGAAGGACGUGCUAAUCUGCGAUAAGCGCCGGUAAGGUGAUAUGAACCGUUAUAACCGGCGAUUUCCGAAUGGGGAAACCCAGUGUGAUUCGUCACACUAUCAUUACGUGAAUACAUAGCGUAAUGAAGCGAACCGGGGGAACUGAAACAUCUAAGUACCCCGAGGAAAAGAAAUCAACCGAGAUUCCCCCAGUAGCGGCGAGCGAACGGGGAGGAGCCCAGAGCCUGAAUCAGCAUGUGUGUUAGUGGAAGCGUCUGGAAAGGCGCGCGAUACAGGGUGACAGCCCCGUACACAAAAGCGCAUGUGCUGUGAGCUCGAUGAGUAGGGCGGGACACGUGGUAUCCUGUCUGAAUAUGGGGGGACCAUCCUCCAAGGCUAAAUACUCCUGACUGACCGAUAGUGAACCAGUACCGUGAGGGAAAGGCGAAAAGAACCCCGGCGAGGGGAGUGAAACAGAACCUGAAACCGUGUACGUACAAGCAGUGGGAGCACAGGUUUACCUGUGUGACUGCGUACCUUUUGUAUAAUGGGUCAGCGACUUAUAUUCUGUAGCAAGGUUAACCGCAUAGGGGAGCCGAAGGGAAACCGAGUCUUAAUUGGGCGUUAAGUUGCAGGGUAUAGACCCGAAACCCGGUGAUCUAGCCAUGGGCAGGUUGAAGGUUGGGUAACACUAACUGGAGGACCGAACCGACUAAUGUUGAAAAAUUAGCGGAUGACCUGUGGCUGGGGGUGAAAGGCCAAUCAAACCGGGAGAUAGCUGGUUCUCCCCGAAAGCUAUUUAGGUAGCGCCUCGUGAAUUCAUCUCCGGGGGUAGAGCACUGUUUCGGCUAGGGGGCCAUCCCGGCUUACCAACCCGAUGCAAACUGCGAAUACCGGAGAAUGUUAUCACGGGAGACACACGGCGGGUGCUAACGUCCGUCGUGAAGAGGGAAACAACCCAGACCGCCAGCUAAGGUCCCAAAGUCAUGGUUAAGUGGGAAACGAUGUGGGAAGGCCCAGACAGCCAGGAUGUUGGCUUAGAAGCAGCCAUCAUUUAAAGAAAGCGUAAUAGCUCACUGGUCGAGUCGGCCUGCGCGGAAGAUGUAACGGGGCUAAACCAUGCACCGAAGCUGCGGCAGCGACGCUUAUGCGUUGUUGGGUAGGGGAGCGUUCUGUAAGCCUGCGAAGGUGGCCUGUGAGGGUUGCUGGAGGUAUCAGAAGUGCGAAUGCUGACAUAAGUAACGAUAAAGCGGGUGAAAAGCCCGCUCGCCGGAAGACCAAGGGUUCCUGUCCAACGUUAAUCGGGGCAGGGUGAGUCGACCCCUAAGGCGAGGCCGAAAGGCGUAGUCGAUGGGAAACGGGUUAAUAUUCCCGUACUUGGUGUUACUGCGAAGGGGGGACGGAGAAGGCUAUGUUGGCCGGGCGACGGUUGUCCCGGUUUAAGCGUGUAGGCUGACUUUCCAGGCAAAUCCGGAGAGUCAAGGCUGAGGCGUGACGACGAGGCACCACGGUGCUGAAGCAACAAAUGCCCUGCUUCCAGGAAAAGCCUCUAAGCAUCAGGUAACAUCAAAUCGUACCCCAAACCGACACAGGUGGUCAGGUAGAGAAUACCAAGGCGCUUGAGAGAACUCGGGUGAAGGAACUAGGCAAAAUGGUGCCGUAACUUCGGGAGAAGGCACGCUGACAUGUAGGUGAAGUGGUUUACCCAUGGAGCUGAAGUCAGUCGAAGAUACCAGCUGGCUGCAACUGUUUAUUAAAAACACAGCACUGUGCAAACACGAAAGUGGACGUAUACGGUGUGACGCCUGCCCGGUGCCGGAAGGUUAAUUGAUGGGGUCAGCGCAAGCGAAGCUCCUGAUCGAAGCCCCGGUAAACGGCGGCCGUAACUAUAACGGUCCUAAGGUAGCGAAAUUCCUUGUCGGGUAAGUUCCGACCUGCACGAAUGGCGUAAUGAUGGCCAGGCUGUCUCCACCCGAGACUCAGUGAAAUUGAACUCGCUGUGAAGAUGCAGUGUACCCGCGGCAAGACGGAAAGACCCCGUGAACCUUUACUAUAGCUUGACACUGAACAUUGAGCCUUGAUGUGUAGGAUAGGUGGGAGGCUUUGAAGCGUGGACGCCAGUCUGCGUGGAGCCAACCUUGAAAUACCACCCUUUAAUGUUUGAUGUUCUAACGUGGACCCGUAAUCCGGGUUGCGGACAGUGUCUGGUGGGUAGUUUGACUGGGGCGGUCUCCUCCUAAAGAGUAACGGAGGAGCACGAAGGUUGGCUAAUCCUGGUCGGACAUCAGGAGGUUAGUGCAAUGGCAUAAGCCAGCUUGACUGCGAGCGUGACGGCGCGAGCAGGUGCGAAAGCAGGUCAUAGUGAUCCGGUGGUUCUGAAUGGAAGGGCCAUCGCUCAACGGAUAAAAGGUACUCCGGGGAUAACAGGCUGAUACCGCCCAAGAGUUCAUAUCGACGGCGGUGUUUGGCACCUCGAUGUCGGCUCAUCACAUCCUGGGGCUGAAGUAGGUCCCAAGGGUAUGGCUGUUCGCCAUUUAAAGUGGUACGCGAGCUGGGUUUAGAACGUCGUGAGACAGUUCGGUCCCUAUCUGCCGUGGGCGCUGGAGAACUGAGGGGGGCUGCUCCUAGUACGAGAGGACCGGAGUGGACGCAUCACUGGUGUUCGGGUUGUCAUGCCAAUGGCACUGCCCGGUAGCUAAAUGCGGAAGAGAUAAGUGCUGAAAGCAUCUAAGCACGAAACUUGCCCCGAGAUGAGUUCUCCCUGAGACUAUAAGUCUCCUGAAGGAACGUUGAAGACGACGACGUUGAUAGGCCGGGUGUGUAAGCGCAGCGAUGCGUUGAGCUAACCGGUACUAAUGAACCGUGAGGCUUAACCUU